rnacentral:lncRNA from 1 species
GUUGAUUUCUAAAUUACAUAGUAUCAUGUGUUUAAAACCAACAUUAAUGACGAUGAACUUUAUGUUGUGUGUGAUAAUCAUAUACUUGUUUACAUGUAUGUUUAUUUUUCUUUUCAGGUUGAGAUAUCUGUUGCAUAGAUGAGAUUUUGCAUUUUGCACAAGUUUACUUUUUGGAGUUUCAUGAUACGUAAAUGGGAGCAUUUUUCUCCCAGCGUUAUGAAGACUGUGAUUUUGGAUAUGAAGUAGAAGCAUAAUGAUAUGACAACUUAACCAUGAUGACUGUUUUUUCCUGUUCUCUUUGCUC